GGGUGUCACACGCCACCUGUAUUACCUCACUAAUGUAGUGUCAGCCACUCAGGAACUUCUGGUGACUACUAAGAUUUGUAGCUUAUGAUCUGCUUACGUUAUAUGAGAUCGUAGCGGAAAACAGUCUGUGUUGAAAGGUGCUGUAUUUUCACUCUUGCCUUGUGUAUCCUAUAGCCCAGAGUUUAUUCUGCAUGUGUACAUGUAUAAUUUUUAGGUGCUUUUGUUCUUUCUUGCUCUUAAAGGUAUUUAAAUCUGUUAAUCUUUUUACUUAUAUACUUUCCUCAAAAUAUUCAGUGAGGAAUCCUCUCAGGUAUUUGCUUAAACUGAGUAUUUCUUUAAAAUGCAGAAAUAUUCAGUGAGGAAUCCUCUCAGGUAUUUGGUUAAACUGAGUAUUUCUUUAUUAACAUUAAAACUCAGCCCUAGAACUGAAGUUAAUAUUCAGAACAUCACACAUGUUGACCAAAAUUACAAUCUAGAGGACAAAGCGUAUCAGUUGGUUUCGGGUACUCAAAGUUUCUGGUUUUUGGUUUCUUUUUUUAAUCUUGGCAGGAAAUACAUUUUCUGCAUUUUAAAGAAUUUUAUUUCUGUCAUCACUAAAAGGUGACAGCAGGUUUUAGGUUAAAGUACAGAAGGAAUAUAGUAAAAUAAAAUUUUUAGACUUUUACUCCUGCAACCCUGUAGGCCAGAGUUGAGCGGUUUUCUCAAAAUGCAGCCAGAUGAGUGGGUCAGCUGCUUAAGUAACUGGCUAAGUAACAUCACAGAGUUGCCUGGUUUAUGUGAACAGUGGAACAUCAUCUGGAAACGGUAUUACGAACCUUAAGCCAAAGUCGUAACCAUUAUAAUAAAAAGGAAUACCAUUUGUGCAUUUAAAAAGUAUAAUUCUCUUUAAAAACACUGCUUUCCAUGUUACAGCAAAGAGACAAAGAUACUUUUAUCACUUUAUGGCUUUCUCAUGGCUGUACCUCUAGCAUGUUGGCAUUUCCCCAGGAGUUUAGUUCACAGGUUUUCUUUUUUUCUGACUUUUUUUGCAACAUGACCUGCACACACCUGAGGGGCCAGCUCCUAAGUGUGAACUUUGACAUCGUGCUCUCCUGGGCGACCGUCACCCGGGUCAGGGAGGGAAGACGGCGGCUCCCGCAGAGGGUGGCCGUGCGGAUGCCUCUUGCCGGCCCACAGCCGCAACCUCCAGAGAUCAAAUCGCCUAGGGAGUGAACAGACAAGGACGCCACGUGGAGAUUAGUGCCGGCUUUGUUUUCUCUACCAUCCCACCAGAAAGAAGGUUACAGGAUACAUACUUCAUCAGCACAUGUCUUUUGAAAUGAAAAGACUGCUCUUCUUAGGUGACUCUGGAGCCAGAUCAUUAUUAAAGUUUACAAGGCUGUGUACUGUAAUACAGAAUCAAGCUGCUGUUGGCUUCCUCCGUACUGGAGUCAAACUCACCCGAAGAUUUACCCUCUUGCUUCCUGAACACCAGGGGGCGCUCUUGGCAAGUUAAAUUUCUCAGAAAAACGAAGACCAGGCCAAACUAAAUGGACAAGACAAUUGCCAAGAACUAGAACGAUAAUUGUCAGUUCUGAUUCGUAGAAAGGAAAGGAUAGGUUAUGAUCUCAAGCCCGUGAGGAGAGACACAGCAGGCCAAGAGUGUGUGCUGCUUCAAACAAACAAGGACUGAUGUACAGGGCAUCCUAACCUCCCUAGCCUUGCUUUCAGUUCACCUCUCACUCAACACGCUGACAUAAGUCGUCUGCAAGAAAGCAAGCAGUCACCCACACAUGGGGCAAAGCAGGGCAGGGCAUAACAGGAAGCCUCCCAGACAAGGCAAGACCUAUACUUUCCUACUAUUUCUGAAAUUAUAGUGCCCUUCCUUUGAGUAUGUCUCAGACGGAGCACUUUGCUCUGUGUCGCCUACUUUAGUCAGAAGGCUUCCUAGGACCCAAAUGCCGUCCUUUGCCCCCACAUCAGAAGUUGUCUAACAGAACAAAGAGGAGGCUCUUAGAUUCUUGGUGUUAAGUGGAUGAAACCGCUAGGCAUUUUCAAGUUCCAUUUUUAUGUGCUUUCUCAGUAAUACCCCCACGAACACCGACUCUUCUCCAUACCUCUCUGAAGAAUCCAAGGUUGUGUAUUUUCAAGCUAGAAUACCCUUAGGACCCAAAUCAUUCCAGGUUAUAAGUGUUCCUUGCAAACUAAAUAUAUGAAAAUCUGCAUCUAUAUGAAAGAAAUGGGGAUGGCAUUUAUUUAUAUUUUUUACAGAAGAGUCCUCACAGGAUUCUUUUAUGUAUUUGUAUAUAUUUAAAAUAAUUCAAUAGAAGGGCACCUGGCUGGCUGAGUCAGUAGAACAUGUGACUCCUGAUCUCAGGGUUGUGAGUUGAGCCUCACACUGGGUGGAGACGUUACAUAAGAAUAAAAUCUUAAAAAAAAAUUCA
rnacentral:lncRNA from 1 species